rnacentral:tRNA from 1 species
GCUGGCGUAGCUCAAUGGUAGAGCAGCUGAUUUGUAAUCAGCAGGCUGCGGGUUCAAGUCCCAUCGCCAGCUCCA